UGGGGAAUAUUGCACAAUGGGCGCAAGCCUGAUGCAGCCAUGCCGCGUGUAUGAAGAAGGCCUUCGGGUUGUAAAGUACUUUCAGCGGGGAGGAAGGCGAUAAGGUUAAUAACCUUGUCGAUUGACGUUACCCGCAGAAGAAGCACCGGCUAACUCCGUGCCAGCAGCCGCGGUAAUACGGAGGGUGCAAGCGUUAAUCGGAAUUACUGGGCGUAAAGCGCACGCAGGCGGUCUGUCAAGUCGGAUGUGAAAUCCCCGGGCGCAACCUGGGAACGGCAUUCGAAACUGGCAGGCUAGAGUCUUGUAGAGGGGGGUAGAAUUCCAGGUGUAGCGGUGAAAUGCGUAGAGAUCUGGAGGAAUACCGGUGGCGAAGGCGGCCCCCUGGACAAAGACUGACGCUCAGGUGCGAAAGCGUGGGGAGCAAACA
rnacentral:rRNA from 1 species